GACAGAGGGUGCAAACGUUGUUCGGAAUUACUGGGCGUAAAGCGUGCGCAGGCGGUUUUGCAAGCCGGAUGUGAAAUCCCCGGGCUUAACCUGGGAAUGGCAUUUGGGACUGCAAGGCUGGAGUGCGGCAGAGGAGACUGGAAUUCCUGGUGUAGCAGUGAAAUGCGUAGAUAUCAGGAGGAACACCGAUGGCGAAGGCAGGUCUCUGGGACGGUACUGACGCUGAGGCGCGAAAGCGUGGGGAGCGAACAGG
rnacentral:rRNA from 1 species